rnacentral:lncRNA from 1 species
CCGCCGGAGCCGCAGAGUUGUCUCAUGCAUGAAAGGGAAAAAACGAAGCCUCCCGGGGGAUUUGCUCCGAGCACGGGUUUCCUCUGCUGCCGAUUCCCCCGGCGUCGUCGGGGUGGGAGGCUCGGGUUGGAGGCGCCGCGACCUUUUCGCCGUGCGGCCCCGGCUCCGGCGUUGGCAUCCAGCGGUGGCGAGGAGAGAAGGGGGACGGUUUCAGAGCCGGAGGGCUACAAACCAUCCGGCCACCUCAAGGCCUCGGGGACGGACACCUCGGCGGGGCAAAAAAAAAGGAGAGGGUGGCAAAAAAAAACAAAAAAAGGCCGCGGGAGCGAGCGCCCCGAAAAAGCAAAGUCACCCCAAAAGCAAGCGGAGAGGAGCCGGAGGAUCCCCGGCCUCCGUGCAAAGAGGGUUGGAAGGCUUCGAGGGAGGCUAACGGGGGCCAGGCUCUCCGCCUGCUUCGCGUUUUGGAGCCUUUGCUACCAUCUGCACCAAGUGGUAUAUUCCUCCGGGCUGGCUCUUCCCCAUAUUUCUCCGCCGAAUGGCUUUAAAAAACCACUCAGCACGCUGUAAAUAAUUUACUAAAGCUACCUUUCCAGGCAGGCGGAUCACGGGCUUGUCCCGGGGACGUUAUUUGAUCAGAGCUGGGACAGGCAGAGUUCCCGAACUGCGAUGGGAAGGGAGUUGUCCCAGGAGACAGCUUCUGUUUGCAGCCAUCCGAGGUUGAUGAUCGGUUGCUUUUAUAAAGUUCCUAUCAUGGGAGCAUUUAGAAGGAAAUAGUGUGCUGCUACAGCGACUUGGCUCAGCUUUUUAUUUUAUUUUUUUCCCCAAAUUGUUUCAGAAAUAAUUUUAGGAGGGAUUUUUAUCUCCUUUGCAGACUUGAGCUAUUGUUCCAGCUUUGUUUAACGUUAUUACGGGUUUGAUUCCCUUAGGAAAGAAGGAGAUUAUUCAGAAAACCAGCUCCUUCAGGAUAACGUCCAUACAAAUAAUGUUCUUCCGUGCUUGUGCUCUCAAUUUUAUGGUUAUACUUUGUGGAUUCUUCUGGUUUAUGCAGUUAACGUGGGGCCAUCUGACUUUCAGGAUGGGAUGUGAGCUCAAGGGGACAGUUGAGCUCAUAAAAGGUACUUUUAGAGAGACAGAAAGUGGUACCAGACCUAAGAAAACUGCCUCCUGCUCCUGGAUUUGUUUCUGGCAGGAAUUGAGUAAUGGGGCAACAGGAACUGCCUUGAAAGCCGCUGAGGAAACGCGUUACAAAACGAGACUCGCAGAGCCACUCGCCCUCUUCUCUGGGUUAAUCCGAAGGUGCAAAUUCCCUCGUUCAGCUGCACGUCUCAUAAUUACCCUGACUGUGCAGCUAUUUCACUCGUGCUGUUGCCGAAACCCUACUGCACACAACAAAGACUUUAAAUGAGGGACCGAACUUGCCCAUUCUUGCAGGAGGCUAAAAACAGCUGUGGGUUACCCCACUUAGCACCACUUCUGCAGCUCAGCUUUGGGAAUCUCUCUCCUGCAAAGCGUUUUCAACGAUUAGGACCCACGUAUGAGAAAUAAGGAGCUGAUGUGUGAAGUUAAGGGAGAUGAUUGUGAGACGGAGUCUGUCAUGAGCAGAUCCUCCUCCUUGUGCCACGUUAGGGUGGGAGACCUGGUCGCGAUGGGGCUUGGGCACAGGGAAAAGCACAUCCCAAAACCACAAAAUGGUUGACGGGGACCUCUGGAGGCCAUCUGGUUCACCCCCCCUUGCUCGAGUGGGGACACCCAGAGCAGCUGGCACUGGGCACCAGUGGAGCAGAGCCCGGCUCUGUCCUCUCAGCAUCUCCUCUCAAAUAUUGAUGGAUACGGACCAGCCCCUCUUCUCCAACCUGAUCAGGCCUGGCUCUCCCAACCUCUCCUCACAGGAGAGAGAUUCUUGGUGGCCCUCCAUUGGACUCUCACAGAAUUUCUAGGUUGGAAGAGACCUCAAGAUCAUCGAGUCCAGGUCUCUGGACCUAGGUGGAGUUGAGGGAGCUGGGAUCAUGGAAGGGUUGGGAGAGGGACAAGGGGAGCUGGUGGGACAAGAGAUGGGAUGGAGCCAGCUGGGGCAGGUGACAGGGUCAGGUAACUUGAUGUAGCGAGGUGAGGGUUGGUCUAUUCCCCCAUGUGACAGGAUGAGAGGAAAUGGGCUAAAGUUGCGCCAGGAGAGGUUUAGGUUGGAUGUUAGGAAGAACUUCUUCACAGAAAGGGUUGUGAGGCCUUGGGAUGGGCUGCCCUGGUUGUGUCACCAGCCCUGGAGGUCUUUAAAAGACGUUUAGAUGUAGAGCUCAGUGAUGUGGUUUAGGGGAGGACUGGUUAGGGUUAGGUCAGGGUGAUCUUGGGACUGGGUGAUCUUGGAGGGCUCUUCCAACCUAGAAAUUCUGUGAUUUUGUGAUUCUGUAACAGAGGCCAAGUGACAGAGGCCAGGUGACAGUGACCAAGUGACAGUUGAUAGAGGCCAAGUAACAGACACCAAGUAACAGAGGCCAAGUGACAGCUGACUGAUGGCAGGUAACAAAGGCCAAGUGACAAAGGCCAGGUGACAACUGACUGAGGCCAGGUGACAGAGGCCAGGUGACACUCAAUAGAGGCCAUGUAACAGUUAACUGAGGCCAGGGGACAGUUGACAAAGGCCUGGUGACUGAGGCCAGGUGAUAGUUGAUAGAGGCCAAGUAACAGAGGCCAGGUGACAGUGACCAAGGAACAGUUGAUAGAGGCCAGGUAACACACGUCAAGUGACAGAGGCCAGGUGACAGUGGCCAGGUGACAGUUGACUGAGGCUGGGUAACAGAGGCCAGGUGACACUUGACAGAGGCCAGGUGACAGUUAACUGAGGCCAGGGGACAACUGGAAGAGGCCAGGGGACAACUGACAGNNNNNNNNNNUGACUGAGGCCAGGUAACAGAGGCCAAGUGACAAUUGAUAGAGGCCAAGUAACAGAGGCCAGGUGACAGUGACCAAGUGACAGUGGCCAAGGAACAGUUGAUAGAGGCCAAGUAACACACGUCAAGUGACAGAGGCCAGGUGACAGUGGCCAGGUGACAGUUGACUGAGGCUGGGUAACAGAGACCAGGUGACACUUGACAGAGGCCAAGUAACAGAGGCCAGGUGACAACUGACAGAGGCCAUGUAACAGUUAACUGAGGCCAGGGGACAGCUGACUGAGGCCAGGUAACAGAGGCCAAGUGACAAUUGAUAGAGGCCAAGUAACAGAGGCCAGGUGACAACUGACAGAGGCCAUGUAACAGUUAACUGAGGCCAGGGGACAACUGACAUAGGCCAGGGGACAGAGGCCGGGUGACCGAGGCCACCUAUGAGGGGACCCCAACCCCCCUGAGCCCUCCUCAGGCUCCGGCGGCGCGCACCAGGCCGCAGGGCCCGGCCCCCGUUGCUAGGCAACGGCGGGGGCGCGCGCGCGCGGUGCGGGCCGCGUCACGUGAGCGCGCGCGCGGUCACGUGAGCGGGGCUCAACGGGCGGCGCGCGGCGAUGACGUCAGCGGCGGCGGGGGCGAGCGGCGGGGAUGGAGGAGAGCG